AAGCUGUCCCACCUCAUCAUGCCGUGGUUUUUCUUUCUUUUUUUGCAGAGAAAGGCAAGUUUCUGUUGAGAACCUUCUGAAGAGAUGGUGGAACAAACUGAAGCACUGG